rnacentral:rRNA from 1 species
GUCGAGAAUCUUCCGCAAUGCGCGAAAGCGUGACGGAGCGACACCGCGUGAUGGAUGAAGUCCUUCGGGGCGUAAACAUCUUUUAUAAAGGAGGAAAUUUUUGACGUUACUUUAUGAAUAAGGGGCUCCCAAUCUCGUGCCAGCAGGAGCGGUAAUACGAGAGCCUCAAGCGUUAUCCGGAAUCAUUGGGCGUAAAGGGUGCGUAGGUGGUUUGAUUAGUCUCCCGUUAAAACUUCGAGCUUAACUCGAAAAGAGCGGGGGAAACGGUCAAACUAGAGUAUGUGAGAGGUGUGUGGAACUCAUGGUGUAGGGGUGAAAUCCGUUGAUAUCAUGGGGAACACCAAAAGCGAAGGCAGCACACUGGCACAUCACUGACACUGAGGCACGAAACCUAAGGUAGCGAAUGGGAUUAGAAACCCGAGUAGUCC